UACGGAGGGGGCGAGCGUUAUUCGGAAUUAUUGGGCGUAAAGGGCGCGUAGGCGGCUGUACAAGUCAAAGGUGAAAUCCCUCGGCUCAACUGAGGAACUGCCUUUGAAACUGUACGGCUUGAGGCCGGGAGGGGGUAGCGGAAUUCCCAGUGUAGCGGUGAAAUGCGUAGAUACUGGGAGGAACACCAGUGGCGAAGGCGGCUACCUGGACCGGUUCUGACGCUGAGACGCGAAAGCCAGGGGAGCAAACGGG
rnacentral:rRNA from 1 species